CAGUCGUACCGGCGGAUAAUCAGCCUUUCGGGUGCGAUUCUGUGGGGCGUGAGGAGCUUAACCGCCUUCAUGUUUUGCAUAUUCGUGCAUAUUUGGUGUACUUGUCCGUGUGGUGGGUUAACAUCAAUUUCGGUCGUCAUAAAAUGAUUAGAGGAAUGUAGCUUUGGUCUCGUAUCGAAGUGUUAUAGACUCUGGUAGAUGUGACGAUUGGGAUUGAGGAUUGCAACGGAUACCCCUUCGGGGGCUACCCGUCUGAUCUCUGAAGGUUGCUCCGGUGCCGAAAGCGUGCUUACGGUCAUCGAAAGUGAUUUUCAAAAGGUUAGAACGGGUUAAAUUCGUUAAGGAUGUUGACGUAAUGGCUUUAAACGA
rnacentral:rRNA from 1 species